CAAAAAUAACUGCGAGGAGGGGCAAGAGAAAGGAUGAUUCGAGGCACCUGGGCCCUUCAAGGUCAUGCAGUGGGUCGAGGGCCUGAGAUCCUGUUCACCAGGACUCCACAGAGCUGGCUCUGCUCAGAAGCCAUUUCAUUCCCCGGCUCCACCCUAGGGCACUUUUUCUAACAGAGGAAACAAAUGGUCCAGCAGUCGUUCCCAGCAGAACAGCAGAGCCUGGACUGACACCCAGUGGGACCAGUGUUGCCACACCAGUUGAUAAAAUGCAGAAACCCUUCUGUACUCGUUGGUAAAUAUCUACUCCCCCAAGUGACUCCAGGUGCCGCCCACCGCCUGGCACUUCCCCCAGGACUCCUACGAUCUGGUUACUGCCUGGCCGAUCCAAGGCUGUGGAGUCCCAGAGCCAGCAGUUCACUGGUGCUCAUUCCACACUGGUUAGAUACUUCAGUUGUCACCCCUGGGAAGAUUCUCCCACCUCCUCCCUUUGAUGGAACCACCCUCCCCAGAGGCUGCAUUGAGGAGACUCCACAGACGAAAAGUGAGUUUGCAGAAACCUUGGGGAAAAGGGCCCUUUCAAAGAAGUGGAUAAGAGGGAGGAGAUCAUUGAGUGACCCAGAAAGCUCUUUUGAAAAGACAGACUCCUCAAGGAGAGAUAAAGAGGAAAGCACCUCUUUCAUUUUUAGUGUGAGCUAAUUCCAUCAGACUGCUGUCCUCCUGGACCCAUCUGAGAUGUGCAGUAGCAAGGAGAGGGGGGAUCAUUUUAGAGAGUGGGUCAUUGGCAGGGAGUGCUCCUGAGGGAGGCAGAGGGGAGACUGUGGUAGAAGGAAGACAGAACUCACACGUGCUCCCAGGAUUGGGGACAGGGACAGACGAGGUAACAGAAGGCAAAGGCCAGUUUCCCCUUUAUCAUGAAGGGGCCCACUCAGGACAGGAACAAGGACAACUCCUCCUCCUCCUCCUCUCCUGCUGCUCCUGGGAUACCAGCCUCAUUUCUUGCCAGUCCCAGACUUGCUCCCUGAGCUUCUGCCACCUGCCCUUCCUUCAUUUCCUCGACAUUCCAGCCUCGUUCCCACCUCCAGCACUUUGCAUAUGCUGUUCCCUUUGCCAAGAAUGCUCUUCCCCUACCCUGUGCAUGGCUGAGUUCUGCAGACCCUCAGGCCUUGGCUUCAAAGUUGCCUCCUCCAAGAGGCCUUCCUCAACUACUGUACUUGUGGAGUUCCUCUAUCACAAGGCCUCUGUUCUUUCCCUUCAUGGAGAAUUUGCCACUGCAUAUCCAUUUGUGUAAUUUACUUGUUGGUUGACUGUGCCUCCCACUCGAGUGUAAGCUCAUGAGGCCAGGUGCCAUGCCUGGUUCACUCUCCACUCUGUACCCAGCAUUGAGCACAGGGCCUGGUCCAUAG
rnacentral:lncRNA from 1 species